UUUUAAAAACCACUUAUGAUUUAUAUUUUUCUAAAUUGUAAAAACUGACUUUAAAAAUCAUAAUGCUUUGUUAAUGAAAGUCACAAAAAAUACAUUGUGUAAUGUAUUCUACAGGAUAUGCACAUUUCUUUAAGAAUGCAUGGAGUGAAUGAAAAUAACAUGGGGGUAUGAACCACAGAGUGAACAUGUACCACAAACAACUCUUGUUGAAAUAUACAGUCCCGGGAAAUGUCACCGUCUUCAUUUACUAAAGUGUGAUGGAGAGGGGGAUUGCUGAACAAUCCCAGGGACAGACGUCAUCAUGGAAUGUCAGAGACGCCAAGGUGGAGUUGUAUUGUUAAAUAACCCCAAACAUUUUUCUUCAGAGGACUUUUGCCAAAGGAACCAUUUUCUAUUUGUAGAAAAUGCAUAUGUGAUUUAAUGACAGGACUCACCUAAACCCCACUCCUAAAGGUCUGUAUUAUUCUACAGAUUACUUAAUUUUUAAUAACAUAGACAUCAUUUUUCUUUAAAAAGUAAGAUUUGAAGUUCUUUCUGAAACAACACUUGAAGUUAUAUGUAUAUAUUCUACAGAUAUAAAGAAAAACUAGCUUGUAUUUUUUGAUAACAGUUAAGUUAAA
rnacentral:lncRNA from 1 species